UACGUAGGUGGCAAGCGUUGUCCGGAUUUAUUGGGCUUAAAGGGUGCGUAGGUGGCCAUGUAAGUCAGUGGUGAAAUAUCUCAGCUUAACUGAGAGGGUGCCAUUGAUACUGCAGGGCUUGAGUACAGAUGAGGUAGGCGGAAUUGACGGUGUAGCGGUGAAAUGCAUAGAUAUCGUCAAGAACACCGAUAGCGAAGGCAGCUUACCAAGCUGUAACUGACACUGAGGCACGAAAGUGUGGGGAUCAAACAGG
rnacentral:rRNA from 1 species